CUUAGUGUCAAGUAUCUUCACCUUCAAACCAUCUUGCAGGCUGAAGAAGUUUAUUCCAUCGUUCUUCCUAGCUAAGAGCCCACUCCUUGCAGGAAAGAAUAACCUUGCCCCUAUGAGCAUUUAUACGUGAGGUCGUGGAGGGGCCUAGCCCUCACUUAGGAAUGAAGUCCUAAGCUUCAGGAGAACCCGUGGGGUUGGGGUGGCUGUGGGGAAGGACGUUCAAGGAUGAUGAGGAGGAGGAAAUGACUUCCUGUGAUGAUUUCCUUUGUUCAUUUUUCAUUUGGAAAUCCUGUGUGUGCAGCCUUAUUUCCAUGUGUGUGUGUGGGGAACAAUGUGUGCCUAGGUCCAGAAGAACUGACGCAGGUUCUGCAAUGGUAUGAUCAAUGAGCCCCAUCAACCGCAACACAGAACCCUGCCAGGCAAUGCUGACAUCAAAGGCAUUCCCAGCUCAAGUGACUGAUGUGGUGGCUGGGUCUCUCCUCUUUCAACGGUCCACAUGUAUUCAUGGUUUGUCAAUGAUUUAUUCAGGCUUCCUAUGAGCCUGCAGCAGUGCCACCUCUGGGGAGUCUUGGAAAAAAGGAAAAUAAACAGCAAGCCUCACCUUCCGGGAGCCCUCAGCCUUGAGGAGAUAGACAGGGAAGCAAGAAUGGCCGUGCUUCCUAAGGAAGGUGGAUUGAGUGAGAUUCACAUGAUGAGUCCCCGCUGGGUGCCCACCUAUGACUCCAGCACUCAGGGGGCGGAGGCAGGAGAAUUGCAAAAUUGAAGUUGUUUGGGUUGCUCUCAGCUUCCUGUUUGUGGUUGUGAUGUGAACUCAGCUUCCUGCUCUUGCUGCCAGGCCUCUUGAGCAAGACAGACCCUUAUCUCUCCGGAACCGGUCUCAUGGUAUAGUUAUGUCGGGAGAUCAGGCUGGCCUCCAGCUUGCAGCAAUCCUCCUGUCUCUGCCUCUGGAGUACCUGGGUCACCACACCUAGCUAGAAGUCUUUAUUGGUAUGGAAGCUUCCCUCUCUGCACUGGGAGGAGAGGAGCUGGGAUCCUGAAAGUCCCUGAAAUUAAGAACAAAGAUUUAGGUCGAUCAUGCUACUUAGGCUGAAAUCCGAUUACAGUGAGAAGCGCCGCUCAGAAUUAGGCCAGUCAAUCCGGAAAAGAACAGUCAUCAAUACCACUGCAAAAGUAGCUUGCUCUUCAUGGUCAGUGGGAGCAUGAAUCCUGGGCCUCUACAUGGCUUCUGGCAAUAGCAGGAACCACGGAUGUUCACAUGGUUUCCGACAUCAGCACAGAACCUCUGCCUGGCCUCCAGUGGCAUCACCAAUCACAGACAUAACACAGCCUCUGUCAAAGCCUGGGCCCCAGGCACCAUCAUAGCCCUUGGAGGCAGCGCAGGCCAUCAACAUGGACUCCAGGGCAACACCGGCCAUGGACAGUGGCCACUAACAUGGAGCCCAACAUGAACCCCAGCAGCAGCCUGGCCCACGGAUACCAACACAGCCUCAGGUAGCAGCAUAGACCAUAGAGAGACCACAAGCAUCAAUAUGGCCCUGUGUGCCAGCACAGCCCAUGGAAAUCGACAUGGCUUCAGACAGAGGCACAGACCAUUGAUAUCUGCAUGGCCGUAGGUGGUAACGUGGGCCACAGACACCAACAUGAACCCCAGCUGCAUCAGGACAACAAUCCCAGACAUGGCCCUUGGCAGCAGCAUGGACCGUGACAUCAACAUGGCUUCAGACGGUAGCAUAGACCACAUGGCCCUCAUGUGGCAGCAGGGGUCUCAGACAUCAACAUAGCUUUCUUGGCUGCAGUAAGGCCACAGACCCAUACAUGGCCCUUAGUAGCAGCAUGGAUGGCAGACAUCCACGUGGCCCUCCGGCUUCUCCUUAGUCUGGGGCAGUAGUACGGACCACUGAAUGAGCAUGGCCUUCAGGGAAAGUAUGGACCAUGGAGAUCUUUUGAGGAACUCUAAUCCAGGAAAUGAACCACUCUUCAUCUGGAAUGUCCCGUCACUGCUCAUAACCAGGGGGAUCGUCCUGUUGGGCAGCUUGUUUUGGGGCUGAGUCUGUGCAAGUGCCAGGCUGCUGUGCACCACCCUGCCAACCCCAAUAGCAGCACCAUGUUCUUCCAUUAAUUUCAUCUUCUCAGCGGUUGAGCUUUUAGUUCCACUCCUCUUCACCACACAUGGAACACUCAGUUCCCUCAUCUUUUCCUCCUCUCUCUCACAUACUAAUCAUCUUAGUGGCUUUUGGAAGCUGCAGUGUGCCACAAAGGGUUUUUUUUUUGUGUGUGUGUGUCUCCCCCACCCCCCACCAAACAGCUUUAUAUGCAAAUGUUCAUUGCAACUAGUGGUUGGUCUGGUUCAAGGUCUCUGGUUUCUGACACACCAUCCAUGCUGGAGCAUCACUGAGCCUCAUCUCGGAUAUCCUGCUGCUGUUGUCCAGUCAUGGUGGUCCUGAGCCUCUGGCUCUGCUGGACUGCUUCCUUCACAUGCUCCAGUGGUUUGUAGAUGGAGUGGAUGUUGGGGUGGACUGACUCAAAACUGGAUCUAAGCCUGGGUGGUAGUAGCUGAGUUGGUCAGUCUGGGCCUUCAGCAGGCUGGUGGGGCCUGCAUGCCCUCCCCCCAACCCCCUGCUGAGCCAAUAGGCAUAUCAAGAUUAUUGUCACAAUAAACUUUCAGAUCUUAAGUGUGUGUAUACAUGUGUGUUUGGUAU